rnacentral:tRNA from 1 species
CAAGAAAUAGUUUAUAAAAAAACUUUAAUUUUGGAGAUUAAAAUAGAGGGUUCUCUCUUUCUUGA